CCCUAGCCCCGAUGGGAGGGAAAAUCCUUUUGUGCCGGGGUUCGGCACAAAAGAUUGGAAGGACAGCGGGAAACAGC
rnacentral:sRNA from 2 species